rnacentral:lncRNA from 1 species
UUGGCGCCAUCUUUUGAAUUUUUGAACUUGUUUUAUUAUAUAAUUAAGUGUUUGCAUUUUUUUACUAGAUGUAUUACCGCCCUAACGGUUAGAGCGUGUGUGUUAAGCCUUUGUGUGUGCAAGACGUCUGGGGUUUGAAUCCCCCUCGCCCCAGACCCAUUUUUUAUUCAUUGUUUUUUUGCCUUUUUAUUUUUUUAUUUUUCAUAACUUCAAAGGUUCAUAACUCGAUGACCCCUAAGCCUUUU